rnacentral:lncRNA from 1 species
GCAACCCGCUGAGGUCCCCUUCCACACUGUAGAGGCUUUGUUCUUUUGCUCUUUGCAGUAAAUCUUGCUGCUGCUCACUCUUUGGGUCCACACUGCUUUUAUGAGCUGUAACACUCACCGCGAAAGUCUGCAGCUUCACUCCUGAAGCCAGCAAGACCACGAGCCCACCGGGAAGAACGAACAACUCCAGACGCGCUGCCUUAAGAGCUGUAACACUCACCGCGAAGGUCUGCAGCUUCACUCCUGAGCCAGCGAGACCACAAACCCACCAGAAGGAAGAAACUCCGAACGCAUCCGAACAUCAGAAGGAACAAACUCUAGACGUGCCACCUUAAGAGCUGUAACACUCACCGCGAGGGUCCGCGGCUUCAUUCUUGAAGUCAGUGAGACCAAGAACCCACCAAUUCCGGACACAAGAGGACGGUGUUCAGUGAGCUUCCAGAGGGCUGAACACAUGGAGGUUCCUGGAGGGUGGCAUGUCUAGGGAGGGGAGGGAAGCUCCACACCCUUUCCUCCAUAGCUCACCCUGUACUCUCUUCAUCUGUAUCCUUUGCAAUAUCUUUUAUAAUAAACCGGUAAAUGUGUUUCCCUAAGUUUUAUGAGCCACUCCAGCAAAUUAAUCAAAUGAAAGAGGGGAUCAUGGGAACCCCAACUUGAAGCCGGUAGGUAGGCCAGAAGUUCUGGAGGCCCAGACUUGCAACUGGUGUGGGGAGGGCAGUCUUGGGGACUGAUCCCCCAACCUGUAGGAUCUGACACUAUCUUUUUGGAGAAUCAGAGGAUACCCAGCUGGUGUCCACUGUUGGUGUGUGGGGAAACCUCCCUCUACAUUUGGUCACAGAAGUUUUCUGUGUUGAUGAUUUUGGUGGUGGUGAGAGUAGAGGAAGAACACAGUUUGUGGAGAGUUUUUCCUUACGUAACUCCCAAUAAAUAGAUGUUACCACAAGCUAAACUUCUCUUUCAAAGGGAAAAUGGUCCCAAGGGGCAGAAGUAAUUUGAACUUUUUGAUUGCUAUAGGAAUCCAGUUGGAUUCCAAAUAAGUUACAGUUUUAUUAGAGAAAUUGAUGAAGUCUUAUUUCAUGUUGUUGCCUUUUCCUGGUAACUUUUUUUGUUGUUGUUCUGAAGCAGUCUUACGAUGUCUGCAUGAAUGAGUCAUUUUUUGCCAUGUGGUUUUUUGUUGAGAUCUACUCAUAACAUGGAACAGCUCAGCUGUAAUGAGUCCAUUCUUUCCGAGGCUCCAUAUGACCUCUUCAAUGGUCUUCAAACAGUUUUAGAGGAACAGCUGAUAAAUUUCUGUUUUAUUGUCAUCCUUUUCUCCAUUUUUAUUCUCAAUGUAUUUCCAAAUUACAGAAGGACAUUCUUCUCAUACCGCACUUUGAAAUUAUGGUUUUAUGGCAGGCUGACAUUUUAACAUUUUUUUUCCUAUGGCUGGCAACAAUGAUAGAUAUUGUAGGCACCUGUUAAGGAGGCUAUCUCCUCCC